AAAGGCGAAGUUUCUGUGUUAUCUAGUUAUUUAUUAUCUUAAUUGUGCCUGUCGUCACCCUACUCUUGUUAGGAGAUUUGAUAUUAACCACUAAAAAAUUACUAAUCUUGUACAUAACAGCACGUUUCCCAGCGAAUAUAAGGUACUCCGUUUCGCACAGCAUAAGUCUUCUAUGCACGAUUUCUCCUCUUCCUGCACACUA